GAUGAACGCUGGCGGCGUGCCUAAUACAUGCAAGUCGAGCGAACAGACGAGGAGCUUGCUCCUCUGACGUUAGCGGCGGACGGGUGAGUAACACGUGGAUAACCUACCAAUAAGACUGGGAUAACUUCGGGAAACCGGAGCUAAUACCGGAUAAUAUAUUGAACCGCAUGGUUCAAUAGUGAAAGACGGUUUUGCUGUCACUUAUAGAUGGAUCCGCGCCGCAUUAGCUAGUUGGUAAGGUAACGGCUUACCAAGGCAACGAUGCGUAGCCGACCUGAGAGGGUGAUCGGCCACACUGGAACUGAGACACGGUCCAGACUCCUACGGGAGGCAGCAGUAGGGAAUCUUCCGCAAUGGGCGAAAGCUUGACGGAGCAACGCCGCGUGAGUGAUGAAGGUCUUCGGAUCGUAAAACUCUGUUAUUAGGGAAGAACAAAUGUGUAAGUAACUAUGCACGUCUUGACGGUACCUAAUCAGAAAGCCACGGCUAACUACGUG
rnacentral:rRNA from 1 species